GAAACGCGAUAGUUAAUGUGAAUUGCAGAAUUCAGUGAAUCAUCGAGUCUUUGAACGCACAUUGCGCCUUUUGGUAUUCCGAGAGGCACGCCUGUCUGAGCGUCAGUAAAACCCCUCGGCUAGUAAUUUAUUUGCAAAGCCGGUGUUGGCGGAGAUUUAGUCACCCGCGGUACUUCCCUUCGGGGCUGAACCGCGGUGCCGACGACGCCCGCUUAAAGAAUUCGCAGCGGAGCACCGCGCCCCACGGUGUCGCAAAAAUAGUAGUAAUAUUUUUUUUUUGCAGACUCGAUAUGGCCGGGCCCGCUUUAAGCCAAUCUUGUCGGUGGUUCCCUCACGGGGGCCCCGGAAGAACCUUUGAAUUUUGACCUCAGAUCAGACGAGGAUACCCGCUGAACUUAA
rnacentral:misc_RNA from 1 species